rnacentral:rRNA from 1 species
UACGUAGGGUGCAAGCGUUGUCCGGAAUUAUUGGGCGUAAAGGGCUCGUAGGCGGUUUGUCGCGUCUGCCGUGAAAAUUCGAGGCUCAACCUCGAACUUGCGGUGGGUACGGGCAGACUAGAGUGAUGUAGGGGAGACUGGAAUUCCUGGUGUAGCGGUGAAAUGCGCAGAUAUCAGGAGGAACACCGAUGGCGAAGGCAGGUCUCUGGGCAUUAACUGACGCUGAGGAGCGAAAGCAUGGGGAGCGAACAGG